AUAGAGUGAUAAAACCAAAACAAUGGCAAGACACUGACGCAUUUCACCUAAUAGACUUUUUCAAAAGACACUUUGAAAAAGCCUGUUAGGUGAAGUGUGUCAGUGUGUUACCAUUGUUUUGGUAUUCAUUUCUUCUAUCCUCUUAU